AUGGCUGAGGUAGUGAUUCUUUCAGCUGUGAUAAAGAUUGGCGUUGCUCUAGGGAAUGAAGCACUGAAGCAGGCUAGCUCACAGUUCCAAAAGUCCAUUGCACAACUAACAGAGCUUCAGGGUAGGAUGGGUCGCAUUAGAAGUGAACUCAGGCUAAUGCAUGGAUUUCUUUGCCGGGUGGAUGUCCGGAAUCUGAAGAAUCAGAACUAUGGAUUCUGGGUUCAAGAGUUGCGAAGGCUUGGACACGGGAUCGAGGACAUUGUGGACGAGUAUUUGCAUCUUGUUGGUCAUAAACAUGAUACUGGAUGGGGUGCCUAUCUGAAGAAAGGAUUCAAGCGACCAAAUGUGUUGCUUUCCUUGAACCGGAUAGCAUUAUUUGUUAAGGAAGCAGAGAUCAAUCUUGUGCACCUCUUCCAGGCUAAAGAUAGGUGGGUUCCAAUGGUAGGUGGUUGGGAUCCCGGUGACUCGAGUUACAUUGUUGAGAGGUCCCAACACCUCGCAAGCAUUUCACGUUCCCUUGAUGCAGAAGAUCUUGUGGGGGUGGAUACAAACAGAGAAAAACUUGAGGGGUAUUUGGGAAGUGAUGAUUUGGUACGUUCUGUGAUAGUGUUGCAUGGAAUGGGAGGGCUGGGUAAAACAGCUUUGGCUGCUAAUGUCUACAAGAAAGAGAGAGAAAAGUUUGAAUGCCAUACAUGGGUCUCCAUCUCUCAAACUUAUUCCAUAAAAGAUGUCCUGAAAUGUCUGAUUACUGAACUUUACAAAAACAGAAACGACACACCUGGUAACAUCAACAACAUGGACAUUAAUGGCCUUCAAGAUGAAUUAAGGACCUUCCUACAGGACAAGAAAUAUUUCAUCAUAUUGGAUGACGUUUGGGCUCCGGAAGCUCUCAAUGAUCUAUUUGGAGCACUCGCUCAAAAUCAGAAGAGGAGUAGAGUACUUGUGACAACACGCAUUGAUAGUGUAGCUCACCAUGCUCUCCAAGACCAGAGGAUAACAAUUGAAGCUCUAUCAAAAGAUGACUCAUGGAAGCUCUUCUGUAAGAUGGGGUUUUCGAGAGAUACAAAUCAUAAAUGCCCUGAUGAACUCACACAAUUAGCCCAGGAAAUUGUCAGCAAGUGUAAAGGCAUACCUCUUGCAAUUGUCGCUGUUGGUAGGCUGCUCCUCAUGCGCGAGAAGACCAAAGUGGAAUUCAAGCGAAUACAUGACCAGCUGGACUGGGAGCUAGUUAACAAUCCAAGCAUGGAACAUGUCAGGAAUAUUCUUUAUUUGAGUUUCAGCUACCUUCCGACACAUUUGAAAAGUUGCUUCCUAUAUUGCAGCUUAUUUCCAGAAGACCAUCUUUUCCAGAGAAAAAAGCUUGCACGGUUAUGGAUAGCAGAGGGGUUCAUCGAGCAGAGGGGUGCAAGCACAUUAGAAGAAGUGGCAGAAGGAUAUAUGCAGGAGUUGGUUCACAGGAACAUGCUACAACUUGUUGAAAGGAACUCAUUUGGUAGGAUAAAGAAAUUCAGAAUGCAUGAUAUUAUACGUGAAUUAGCAGUUGAUUUGUGCCAGAGUGACAGUUUUGGUGUUACAUACGAGGAAGACAAAUGUGGAGGGUCUCUUGAGAAUGGGGGGCGUUGA
rnacentral:rRNA from 1 species